rnacentral:rRNA from 1 species
AACGAACGCUGGCGGCAUGCCUAACACAUGCAAGUCGAACGAGACCUUCGGGUCUAGUGGCGAACGGGUGCGUAACGCGUGGGAACCUGCCCUUAGGUUCGGAAUAACUCCCCGAAAGGGGUGCUAAUACCGGAUAAUGUCUUCGGACCAAAGAUUUAUCGCCUUUGGAUGGGCCCGCGUUGGAUUAGCUAGUUGGUAGGGUAAAAGCCUACCAAGGCGACGAUCCAUAGCUGGUCUGAGAGGAGGAGCAGCCACACUGGGACUGAGACACGGCCCAGACUCCUACGGGAGGCAGCAGUGGGGAAUAUUGGACAAUGGGCGAAAGCCUGAUCCAGCAAUGCCGCGUGAGUGAUGAAGGCCUUAGGGUUGUAAAGCUCUUUUACCCGGGAUGAUAAUGACAGUACCGGGAGAAUAAGCUCCGGCUAACUCCGUG